GGUCAAAACUGAGAGGCGUUUUCACACCUAACACCACAUAGACACACUUGACUCUCAACAUAUGAUAGAUGAGAAACAAAUGUGUUAUUUUACUCUCUGAUAGAUGAGAGCAGUAUUAUUGGGUGUUUGAGUUUCAGAAAGUCGUUUGAGGAACUGCUGAGAGAAAAUAUUAUUUACAGUUUCUAUAAACAACAGUGUUUUGCCAUGCUGUCGAUUACCGCAGAAAAUAACUCUAAAAAGCAUUUUCUAUUCACCUCAAUGCUUUUUCAUUUGUCCUUUUCAAUCAAGUUUUGGCAAGGAUUGAUUCUUUAAAAGUGGAUGCUUAACAUUAACAUGUUUUUUUUUAUUUUUUUUUUUUUUUAUGUAAUGUAGUAGUAGAAAAAGAGCAAAAGGGCAUCAGAAAUCACUCAAACAUGUUAAAGACAGAUGGAAACAGAGAGGACAGGAAACAGGUUGUGACUCAUGAAUUCACUGCUAAUUUCCUGGUCAAAACUGAGAGGCGUUUUCACAACUAACAACACACGCAAACACAGACACACAGUCAGUGAACAGUAGAGUUUGACUCUCAACACGUGAGACAAGAAACAAACGUAUUAUUUAUUCUCCACCAAUAAAAGAGCACAGUAUUAUUGUUAUUUACGUUUCAGAAAGUUGUUUGAGGAACUACUGAGAGUUUCAGACUGAUUCUCUGAACUGAACUGAUAAAGAAAUGAAAUUCCCGCUGACAGUUUGUGUGUUUCUGCUGACGGUGAUCAGGUCACUGUCUGUGGACAUUACAGUGAGUGGAACGGAGGGAGAACCAGUGAGCAUUAACUGCCCUUAUCCAGGAGGAUAUGAAAACUCUUACAAAUACUUCUUCAAAGGAGCUUACAGAGAGAGUGUCAUUAUACUACAAUCUCAUGGAAAAAAGUCCUCACCCAGAUUCUCACUGCAGGAUGAUCAUAAGACCAGAUCAUUUACAGUGACCAUCAGUGACCUGAAGAUGGAAGAUGCUGGACGGUACGGCUGUAUCGCUGGAUGGGGAGAAUAUAAACAAAUCCAGCUGAAUGUGAUCAGAGCUCCACAGAGGCCAAAACCUGUCCAGAUCUCAACAUCCACCUUCUAUCCAGAUCAAACUAUCAGCUCAUUUUCAAACACGCCGCCCUAUCUGAGAACAUCAGACACAAACCCACAAUCCAGCAGCAUCACGAUCACAGACCAUCAGAUCAUCUCUUCAGCAGGUUCAUCUUCUGACCUUCAUCUUGAACUUUACAUCACAUCGUCCAUCAGAACAGGAAGUGAAAGCUUCAGUUGUGAUUAUCGUCACUGUGGAGGCUUUGGUUUUACUCCUGAUAGCAGUUCCACUUAUUAUAGUGGCUGUGAGAAAGAAAAAGAAGAAUAAAAGUCUGCUGUCGUCCUCCACUGUAGAGUUUAAUCCAGUGUUUUAUGAACAGAUCAAAGACACUGGACAUCACUGUAAUCCAGAGGACAGAGACACAGAAAUAACUGUAUUUUACAGCUGUGGUUCAUAAACUAUUGUCAUAUAUAAUAUAAUAUAAUAUAAUAUAAUAUAAUAUAAUAUAAUAUAUAGCUACCAAAUUAUCUUCAUCCUUCUCAUCAUUUUCAUCGUUUUACUGAACAUGAGUCAUAAUAAAGCUUGUUUUGUCUGUUCAUUAUCAGA